rfam:TPA: Bos taurus chromosome 19, whole genome shotgun sequence.
UCCCUGGUGGCUUAGAUGGUAAAGAAUCUGCCUGCAAUGCAGGAGACCUGGGUUCGAUCCCUGGGCUGGAAG